rnacentral:rRNA from 1 species
GUUAUAUGGUCAAGCGAAUAAGCGCACACGGUGGAUGCCUAGGCGGUCAGAGGCGAUGAAGGACGUGGUAGCCUGCGAAAAGUGUCGGGGAGCUGGCAACAAGCUUUGAUCCGGCAAUGUCCGAAUGGGGAAACCCACUGCUUCGGCAGUAUCCUGCAGUGAAUUCAUAGCUGCUGGAAGCGAACCCGGUGAACUGAAAUAUCUAAGUAACCGGAGGAAAAGAAAUCAACCGAGAUUCCCUAAGUAGUGACGAGCGAACGGGGAACAGCCCUUAAGCUGGAAUGGCUUUAGAAAAACAAUCUGGAAAGAUUGGCCAUAGAAGGUGAUAGCCCUGUAUUUAAAAGGGCCACUCCAGUGAAGACGAGUAGGGCGGGGCACGUGAAACCCUGUCUGAAUAUGGGGGGACCAUCCUCCAAGGCUAAAUACUCCUGACCGACCGAUAGUGAACCAGUACCGUGAGGGAAAGGCGAAAAGAACCCCGGAGAGGGGAGUGAAAUAGAUCCUGAAACCGUGUGCGUACAAGCAGUAGGAGCUCGCAAGAGUGACUGCGUACCUUUUGUAUAAUGGGUCAGCGACUUACUGUUCGUGGCAAGCUUAACCGUAUAGGGGAGGCGAAGGGAAACCGAGUCUGAUAAGGGCGCAUAGUCGCGGGCAGUAGACCCGAAACCGGGUGAUCUAGUCAUGGCCAGGGUGAAGGUGCCGUAACAGGUACUGGAGGCCCGAACUCACGUCUGUUGCAAAAGACGGGGAUGAGCUGUGAUUAGGAGUGAAAAGCUAAUCGAACCCGGAGAUAGCUGGUUCUCCUCGAAAGCUAUUUAGGUAGCGCCUCGGACGAAUACUGCUGGGGGUAGAGCACUGUUAUGGCUAGGGGGUCAUCGCGACUUACCAAACCAUUGCAAACUCCGAAUACCAGCAAGUACUAUCCGGGAGACACACGGCGGGUGCUAACGUCCGUCGUGAAAAGGGAAACAACCCAGACCCACAGCUAAGGUCCCAAAUUCACUGCUAAGUGGAAAACGAUGUGGAAAGGCAUAGACAGCCAGGAGGUUGGCUUAGAAGCAGCCACCCUUUAAAGAAAGCGUAAUAGCUCACUGGUCGAGUCGGUCUGCGCGGAAGAUUUAACGGGGCUAAGCAGUGAACCGAAGCUUGGGGUGCGUAAAACUUUGUUUUAUGCGCGGUAGAGGAGCGUUCCGUAAGCCUGUGAAGGUUGAUUGAGAAGUCCGCUGGAGGUAUCGGAAGUGCGAAUGCUGACAUGAGUAACGAUAAUGCGGGUGAAAAGCCCGCACGCCGAAAGCCCAAGGUUUCCUUGCGCAACGUUAAUCGACGCAGGGUUAGUCGGUCCCUAAGGCGAGGGCGAAAGCCGUAGUCGAUGGGAAGCAGGUUAAUAUUCCUGCACCUCGCGUGAGUGCGAUGGAGGGACGGAGAAGGUUAGGUGUACCGGGCGUUGGUUGUCCCGGGGAAAGGCGGUAGGUUUGGAUCUUUGGCAAAUCCGGGAUCCUUUAAGACCGAGCACCGAGACGAGCCUUUAUGGCGAAGUCACUGAUACCACGCUUCCAGGAAAAGCUCCUAAGCUUCAGCUCACGAAGACCGUACCGUAAACCGACACAGGUGGGUAGGAUGAGAAUUCUCAGGCGCUUGAGAGAACUCGGGUGAAGGAACUAGGCAACAUGGCACCGUAACUUCGGGAGAAGGUGCACCCUUUUUGGUGGCUCAUGCGAGCUAUAGCUGAAGAGGGUCGCAGAAACCAGGCCGCUGCGACUGUUUAUCAAAAACACAGCACUCUGCAAACACGAAAGUGGACGUAUAGGGUGUGACGCCUGCCCGGUGCUGGAAGGUUAAUUGAUGGGGUCAGCCGCAAGGCGAAGCUCUUGAUCGAAGCCCCAGUAAACGGCGGCCGUAACUAUAACGGUCCUAAGGUAGCGAAAUUCCUUGUCGGGUAAGUUCCGACCUGCACGAAUGGCGUAACGACAGCGGCGCUGUCUCCACCCGAGACUCAGUGAAAUUGAAAUCGCUGUGAAGAUGCAGCGUCCCCGUGGCAAGACGGAAAGACCCCGUGAACCUUUACUAUAGCUUUACACUGAACGUUGAGUUCGUCUGUGUAGGAUAGGUGGGAGGCUAUGAUACUGUUGCGCUAGCUGCAGUGGAGCCAUCCUUGAAAUACCACCCUGUCGUGCUUGACGUUCUAACCUAGAUCCGUUAUCCGGAUCAGGGACCGUGUAUGGUGGGUAGUUUGACUGGGGCGGUCUCCUCCUAAAGAGUAACGGAGGAGCACGAAGGUACGCUCAGCGCGGUCGGACAUCGCGCACUGUGUGCAAAGGCAUAAGCGUGCUUGACUGCAAGAUCGACGGAUCAAGCAGGUACGAAAGUAGGUCUUAGUGAUCCGGUGGUUCUGUAUGGAAGGGCCAUCGCUCAACGGAUAAAAGGUACUCCGGGGAUAACAGGCUGAUACCGCCCAAGAGUUCAUAUCGACGGCGGUGUUUGGCACCUCGAUGUCGGCUCAUCACAUCCUGGGGCUGUAGUCGGUCCCAAGGGUAUGGCUGUUCGCCAUUUAAAGUGGUACGCGAGCUGGGUUCAGAACGUCGUGAGACAGUUCGGUCCCUAUCUGCCAUGGGCGUUGGAAGUUUGAGAGGGGCUGCUCCUAGUACGAGAGGACCGGAGUGGACGAACCUCUGGUGUUCCGGUUGUCACGCCAGUGGCAUUGCCGGGUAGCUAUGUUCGGAAGCGAUAACCGCUGAAAGCAUCUAAGCGGGAAGCGCGCCUCAAGAUGAGACUUCCCGGGGCACAAGCCCCCUAAAGGAACCAUAUAGACUAUGUGGUUGAUAGGUCAGGUGUGUAAGUACAGCAAUGUAUUGAGCUAACUGAUACUAAUGAUCCGUGCGGCUUGACCAUAUAACCU